ACCAGCAGCCAGAACACACAGCACCCCCCAGCUCCCAGCCCCACUGCAGCUCAGCAGGUGUGAGCCUGGUCAGUACCUGGAUGGGAGACCUCCUGGGAAAACUAAGGUAGCUGCAUGAA
rnacentral:rRNA from 1 species